GAGCGAACGCUGGCGGCAGGCCUAACACAUGCAAGUCGAACGAACCUUUCGGGGUUCGUGGCGGACGGGUGAGUAACACGUGGGAACGUGCCUUUAGGUUCGGAAUAACUCAGGGAAACUUGUGCUAAUACCGAAUGUGCCCUUCGGGGGAAAGAUUUAUCGCCUUUAGAGCGGCCCGCGUCUGAUUAGCUAGUUGGUUGAGGUAAUGGCUCACCAAGGCGACGAUCAGUAGCUGGUCUGAGAGGAUGAUCAGCCACAUUGGGACUGAGACACGGCCCAAACUCCUACGGGAGGCAGCAGUGGGGAAUCUUGCGCAAUGGGCGAAAGCCUGACGCAGCCAUGCCGCGUGAAUGAUGAAGGUCUUAGGAUUGUAAAAUUCUUUCACCGGGGACGAUAAUGACGGUACCCGGAGAAGAAGCCCCGGCUAACUUCGUG
rnacentral:rRNA from 1 species